GCCUCGGUAGCUUAGCCCGGAUGAGCGAUUGAUUUGUAAUCAAUAGGUCGAGGGUUCAAAUCCCUCCCGGGGCU
rnacentral:tRNA from 1 species